rnacentral:rRNA from 1 species
UACGUAGGGUGCGAGCGUUAAUCGGAAUUACUGGGCGUAAAGCGUGCGCAGGCGGUUAUGUAAGACAGAUGUGAAAUGCCCGGGCUUAACCUGGGAACUGCAUUUGUGACUGCAUGGCUAGAGUUUGGCAGAGGGGGGUAGAAUUCCACGUGUAGCAGUGAAAUGCGUAGAUAUGUGGAGGAACACCGAUGGCGAAGGCAGCCCCCUGGGUCAAGAUUGACGCUCAUGCACGAAAGCGUGGGGAGCAAACAGG